rnacentral:rRNA from 1 species
GACAGGGGAUGCAAGCGUUAUCCGGAAUGAUUGGGCGUAAAGCGUCUGUAGGUGGCUUAAAAAGUCUCCUGUCAAAGAUCAGGCUUAACCCUGGGCCGGCAGGAGAAACUCUUAGGCUAGAGUUUGGUAGGGGCAGAGGGAAUUCCCGGUGGAGCGGUGAAAUGCGUAGAGAUCGGGAGGAACACCAAAGGCGAAAGCACUCUGCUGGGCCACAACUGACACUGAGAGACGAAAGCUAGGGGAGCGAAUGGG